CUACGGGGUGCAGCAGUCGAGAAUCGUCUACAAUGGGGGAAACCCUGAUAGUGCGACGCCGCGUGAACGAUGAAACCCUUCGGGGCGUAAAGUUCUUUUCUUUGUGAGCAGAUUAUUUAAUGAGAAUAUUGUUUAAUAAUAGAUAUUAGCAAAGGAAUAAGCCACGGCUAACUCCGUGCCAGCAGCCGCGGUAAUACGGGGGUGGCAAGCGUUGUCCGGAAUCACUAGGCGUAAAGGGCAGGUAGGCGGACUGGUAAGUCAGAUGUUAAAGGCACAGGCUCAACCUGUGUAGGGCAUUUGAUACUGUCAGUCUAGAGUUAGGUAUGGGAGGACGGAAUUUCUGGUGUAGCGGUGGAAUGCGCAGAUAUCAGAAAGAACACCAAAGGCGAAGGCAGUUCUCUUGGCCAUAACUGACGCUAAACUGCGAAGGUGUGGGUAUCAAACAGGAUUAGAUACCCCAGUAGUC
rnacentral:rRNA from 1 species